rnacentral:lncRNA from 1 species
GUGAUAUUGUACCAAUAUGAUACAUCAUUUUGUUCAGGGAGGAGUACCCAAUCAUUUAAUGAAAAAAAAUCGAACAUCGCCCGUCCCGUUUUUUCAGGUGAAAAGCUCAAAAUUCCGAUUUUUGACGAUUUUUAGGGAAAAUUGUAUUUGAAUUCUUCUGAAAUAAUAAUGUAUGCGAGUGAUUAUAAAAAAAUAAAACUGAAUAAAACAUGUAUAAAUAAUUGUGG